UACAGGGGGGGCAAGCGUUGUUCGGAAUUACUGGGCGUAAAGGGCUCGUAGGCGGCCAACUAAGUCACACGUGAAAUCCCCAGGCUUAACCUGGGAACUGCGCGUGAUACUGGAUGGCUUGAAUUCGGGAGAGGGAUGCAGAAUUCCAGGUGUAGCGGUGAAAUGCGUAGAUAUCUGGAGGAAUACCGGUGGCGAAGGCGGCAUCCUGGACCGACAUUGACGCUGAGGAGCGAAAGCUAGGGGAGCAAACGGG
rnacentral:rRNA from 1 species